rnacentral:lncRNA from 1 species
AUGUCUGAGCAGGAGUGGCCCAGCCCUGCCAGGAAGUGGCUCUGGCCCUGUGCAGGUGCAUCCAAGGGACAGCGUGGGGACUGGGUGUCCCCCAGCCCUGAGCCAGGUCCUCUCCUGUCCUUUGUGUCUGCGGAAGCGCGUUAUGCACCGGCAGCUUCCUGCUGCCGACUCUGCGGGUUGUGGGGUCUGAGAACCAGGCUCCGCAGAGGUCGGGGUCUCCUGGGCAGCAUCCCCUGGCCACUCCCAGCCACAGCCAAGGUGGGGCCCAGCUGCCCCCGGGGCUCCCUGCCAGCCUGCAGGCUCACAGGUGCCCCUUCCCCCAGCUCCGGGAGUCAGCGGAGAAAGCGGAAUCCAGAUACUCUCUCCUGGUUCCUCCCUUCCCCUGGACCCUUGAUCUUGGCUGGGAAAGUAGGCCCCGGGCACGGAGGGCCUGGGCCCCACGCCGCGCUCAGAGCUGCUGGCUACGGCCGGUCACCGCUGGUUGUGUUUGAUUUUCUGACUCAAAGUCUAUUUAGAGCAGAGGAGAGUGACCAGGACAGCGGGAGCCACAAGGGGCACCAUGGGCUGAUUUUUGCUCUUCCCCAGCCGAGAGCGGUGGCUGAGCUGGCCCUUCCCUCCCUGAGGGUGAGGGGGCCCCAGGCCACCCAGAGGAGGCAAGCAGAAGAGUCAGGGAUGCAGCUGCCUAGACAAGAUGGUGGGGCGGGUGGGCCCUCACCAGUGGGUACCCAGGGCCCCCUCUUUCUCCAGGCGCCCUUGCCUGCCCCCUGCAUGUGCCCAGAAGGCAGUGUCUGUGUGGGGGCAGGAGCCCCUGGGGGAGAGCCCAGGCCUUCAUCACUCGGGGGCCUGACUGUGCCAGAGAACGGAGGGGCAGGGAGCAGUGGCCAAGGAGGACUGGUCUGGGCUUGGCGCUGUGCCCUCAUCCACCCCCAGGCACCUCACUGCCAUCCCUGCUCACCCACAGGGUCCAGCCAAGGAGGGCAGGGGGAGGAAGGGACGACUGGCCGCAGUGGACAGAGUGGGGGACACUAG